rnacentral:misc_RNA from 1 species
AAAAAAUGGACAACAUUUUGGAGGCCACUAACAACUUGGACAGUUGCAAAGAAUCCGUUCUUACAAAUUGCACAAACAUAUUUGAGUAAUCAAAGACAGAAAUAUGAUGAGAGCUGAAUAUGGUAGCAGUUCAAAAUCAUCUGGAGAAUAGUUAUACAGUUUCGUUCUAUAAAUAGUUGCUCGUUUACCAAUUGAAGUUGUGGCAAAAUUUUUAGGAUAUAGCUGUGCCAGCCUUAAAUAAAACUCACUCCUCAGAUUGGAAUAUCCAGCAUGUUCAACAGAACUGGUUUAGCCUGCUGCUGCAAGCAUAAAAGACAUCUCAAGCAUGAUUUUCCUGCAUGUGCCUUUUGUGGUCCCUCUCAGAAUAAUCAAGCCUCCCAGGCCUGUUUCUAUCAUCUGGAAAAUACUCAUGUCGCUUUCCCUCCAUUGGUUUGUCUGAGGGGCUACCUGCCUUUCUCUUCCUACUGUUUGACUUUGGUGACCGAUAACCCUUGUCGGCAUCAUCAUAUGGUUCCAGUUCCCCUUCUUCGACAUAAUCAAGCUCUUCUCGACGUGAAGACUUCCACUUUGACCCUUGGUGAUGUCCAUCCCCAGCCUCAUCUUGAAGCUUUGUGUGAUAUGUGUUCUCAUGCUCUGGCCUGUUUGAAGGCUUGGACCAGCUUUCCUUUCUUUCCCGUUUGUUUUUCUCGUUCCCAGCUGACAGUUCUAUUCCAUCCUCCAAUUCUCUCUCAAUGAGAUCAUCGUCAUCCAUAACAUCAGUUUUCUUGGUUACAUCCCCUUGAGCCUUCCUGCGUUUCUCCAAUGCUGCCUUGACCUUGUUCUCGACAGCUGCUUUAACCUUGUCUUUAUCUAUCUUUCUAACUUCUUGUGGUGACUGGCCAACUGCAUCAUCCAUGUUCUCCAGGGCUCUACCAUGGUACUUUUCCUUUGAUUCCCCUUUGUGCCUUGGUUCAGAUUUCCUAGUGUUCCCUUCCUGAUCAUCUUCAGUGUUACUCUCAGAACCAUACCUUGAUCUACUUUGUACCUCUGCUGUACUACCCUGAUAAGACACCUGCUCUCUUUCAUGGGUCUGUCUAUCAUUCAUCUCACCAUCCCCAAUACCAUCUGAAAAGUUAUGUUCAGCACUUCCAUAGUCAUUAUUGCUAUUUUGAGCUGUCCUUGUAAGGCCACUGUGAUUAUCAGCGUACGGUUGAUCAGGAGUUUCCCUAGAGGACGCAGGAUUGGAGCUUCCUGCAUUUGUAUUAGCACCUCCACCCACGGAGUUGCUGUUAUUUGCACCAUGCUCUUCUUGUGCAGCUGAAGAUUUUCCAGAAGGCCUUUGAUUUCCACCAGCACUUCCUUCUGCUUCACUAGCCUGAGGUGGUACUCUAUUUUGCUCAUACAAUUCUAGCAUUUGAUUGCUCACCUCCUCCAGUUGGCGUGGGGUAACAUCAAACUCCUGCCACCAAACCUUCUCGCCAUCAGAUGGGAGCUUUACUUUGAGAAACUUGGCUGCAAGGAAAAUGGCCCCUGCUGCAAUGUGAUGGGGCUUAAAUUGCAAGCAUAAGGACGUCCGAAGCCCAUCAUUCACAAAGUUCCAUGCAACUUGAGCUAGGGCAUUUUGAGCAACCUUGAAUUUCUUUAUUGCCUCAACAAGGGGUUUAUAUGGAUGAUGUACAUUAAGAUCAAAAGCAAGAGUUGCAAGAACAACCCUCUCUCCGGACAAAAUUAGUUCUUUUUGUUGUUCAUAUACUUCCUUUUGCUUGAUCCUCUGAAUAGCUUCAGAAUCCUUUUUAUGAAUGAUCUCAUAAGAAACAAGUAUAACAUCUUUCAGGGGACGAGGAGUUUCUUCAACCUUUCCUGCUAGGAACAUGCAUACUGUGGCAACGGUCCUCCUAUCAUUCCUUGAAUGAGAUUGCCGGAGAAAGAAUCGAUGACAAAAUAUAAUUGCCGUGGCAAUUGUUACCUGAGGCACUUUAAGCCGCAUGCCCAAAUCUUGUAGGAAGGUACAAUAUGACUUGCGUAGGUAAGUCUCUUUCUUCAAAUCUAUACCAUUGAGUCGCGAUGGGGAGUUCUCUUCAAUUUCCUUCCUGGAGAGAUACCAACGACCACCAUUCUCAUCUGGCCUUUCUUGAGAAGCCCUAAAACUGCCACCCUCAUAAGCUUCAUGAUGUGUUGAGGGGUCACCAGUCAUCAGACCAGCCAUCAUUGCCUCUUCAAUCCCCACGGAAGCUAUCAAUGAGUUAUGAAAUGGUCUGCUCGGCUUCGAGUAACUGAGGAGAGAUUCUACUUCAUCGCCGGCGAGAUUUGCAGGCGAGAAUCGGCGCCGAUGAGGGCAAUUUAGGAAAUUGACGAUAGGAGAAGGAGG